AUGAGCCAUGCCGUGCCGCUUCUCGGGAGGAAAGAGGCUGCGCGGCCGGAGCAGGCGGCGCAAAAGGGGGCUCGGAACGACGGCAGUGCCAGCUUCGUGCGAACUUGCCUCAACGGCGUCAACGCCUUGUCAGGUGUUGGGGUGCUGUCGGUGCCCUACGCGCUGUCGGAGGGUGGGUGGCUAAGCCUGCUGCUGCUGGCCGCCGUGGCUGCCGCCUGCUGGUACACCGGCCUCCUCGUCGGGCGCUGCAUGGACGCCGACCCGGCAAUCCGGACGUACCCGGACAUAGGCCAGCGCGCCUUCGGCUCCCCCGGCCGCCUGCUCGUGUCGUCUUUCCUGUACGCCGAGGUCUACCUCGUCGCCGUCGGCUUCCUCAUCCUCGACGGGGACAACCUCGACAAGCUCUUCCCGGGCUCCAGCGUCGCCCUGGGGCCCGUGUCGCUCGCGGGGAAGCAGCUUUUCGUCGUGCUCGUCGCGCUCAUGGUCGCGCCCACGACGUGGCUGCGCAGUCUGGGCGUGCUCGCGUACGUCUCCGCAGCAGGCGUGUUCGCGUCGUUGGUCGUCGUCCUCAGCGUGCUCUGGGUGGCGGCCGUCGACGGGGUCGGGUUCUCCGGGAGAGGCACUACUACGCCGCUGCGGCUCGCCGGCCUCCCCACCGCUCUCGGCCUGUACACCUUCUGCUACUGCGGCCACGCCGUGUUCCCGACGCUGUACACAUGUAUGAAGCAAAAGUCCCAGUUCCCAAAGAUGCUGGCGAUAUGCUUCGUGCUGUGCACGCUCAACUACGGCUCGAUGGCCGUGCUGGGGUACCUCAUGUACGGCGACGGCGUGCAGUCCCAGGUGACGCUCAACCUGCCGGCGGCGAGGCUCAGCUCCAAGAUCGCCAUAUACACAACGCUGGUGAACCCGCUGGCCAAGUACGCGCUCAUGGUCACGCCGAUCGCGACGGUCGUCGAGGAGAGGAUCUGUGUCGCGGUAGGCCAGGGCUCCGCGGUCCCCGUGGCGGUGAGGACGCUGCUGGUGCUCAGCACCGUGGCCGUGGCGAUCGCCGUGCCGUUCUUCGGCUACCUCAUGGCGCUAGUGGGGUCCUUCCUCAGCGUGGGCGUGUGCAUGCUCCUGCCAUGCGUCUGCUACCUCAGGAUCUUCGGGGCGCCGUCCGUGAAGUGUAGCCGCACCGCCAUGGAGGCCGCCGCGAUCUUCGGGAUACUGGCGUUGGGCGCGCUUGUGGCUGUGACCGGCACGUACUCUUCUGUGAUGCAAAUUAUCCACCACUUGUAA
rnacentral:rRNA from 1 species